UCUGUGAGGGUAGAGCUUAUUUUCCUGUUUUUGUUCUUCGUGCAUUUAUUCUGUUGUGUGUGAGCGAAAACGGCGACAAAUGCAAAAGCUAUUGCGUAGUGUGGAGUAACAAGAUAUUCAGAACAACGGAACGCUAACUGACGCGUCGUAGAAUUGGAGUUUACUGGGGAAUCCCCCUGUAGCUGCAGUUUGUGUUUGUACUGUAUGUGUUCCUAGGACCAAAGUUUAAUGCUGUUAAUUAUAACAUGCUAAGAGAUUCAAGACUGUUUUCUACAGUGACAUUAUUGAAGCAUCUGGCACAUCUUGGCUCUGCGUUGAUUGUUUCCCUAUGGUGCUACAGCAGCUUCAUGAAAUUUUUUAAUUACAAGGAAACACAAGCACUUCCUACAGCUGGCAUCAUCAGUCAAAUAAUAAGCAGAAUGUUGAAGGGGAUGGAAGAGGGAUCAAGGAAAAGAACGAGUAAUGUGUAGGACAUCGGGAGAGUUAUGGAAAAGCUGCCCAGAACCCCAGCUCUCCAGUACCUUCUUUUGGGACUGCUGCUGAGAAGUGUUUAUGAAGUAUAUCGAGCUAUGAUAGCAAUUUAUACAUACUUUGAGGCAGAACUGUGGCCAACUGUGCUCCUUGUACUUGAGUGUUCUUUGUUGGGUAUCAGCUUACCAAUUCUGCCAAUUCAUCCUAUGAUUUUUAUCAUGCUGAUGUGGUGGUUGUUGCCAUAUACCUACAUGUUGAUGAAGCUGUACAAAACAUAUAAAAGGCUACAAUAUAUUAAUGACUGCAGACAGCUUUCAUAACUAUAAUAUAAAGAAAUUAUAAGGGCAAGAAGUCACAUCAGCUACUAUUACAGAUAUAUAUGCACACAUUUGUAUAUUGCUGAUAAAGUAUCACAUAUUUAUUUAAAAUCUUUGGUCAAAAGCAUGUUAACAAUAAAACAUCAGCAAUUUCACACCAUUGAUGUGUGUGGAAAGUAUUGUUCACAGGCCUCUGUUGAUAAAUUUUGGUAAUUGUAGUUAAGCUCCAUCUUCAUAAAAACAUGACACAGUCUUAGAUUAAGUUGUGAGAACUCCAAUGAAUAUAUAAAGUAUUCGGCUCAGUGUUCCCCAUUGUGUAAACUUAGGCAAAAAAUAAAUAAAUAAAAUAAAUAAAUAAAUUUUGAAACAUUUGUACACGGCCUUGUAUAACAUAAUUACAUUACAGUGUAUAGACUGACAAACUUCAUGGGGUUUCAGAGGGCAUCUUGAAGAACGAGCUGAUGACAGGAAUCUAUGCUCAGAAACACCAUUUAAGAAACUACAAAGUGUUGAAGCUACAGGUGAAAACACUGCCAGUAGGCUACCCUCUCAAUAGCAAACAUAAAUUGUAACACUGAAGUCACCGCGUCUAGUGUUCUGCAGUGUCACUGUGGCGGCAGGUGUUGCUGUAUUAGACACUGCCUGACAUUCUGAAUACUAUCAGGUCUUGCUUGCAGUCCAUUAGUGUUAAAUUGUUUUCUGGCAAAGCAUAGUGGCACUCUGUAACACCAUUGGAUGAUAUUUCCAGAUAUACGUUUCUGUUCUCAAUUUCUUGCACAAUGCCUCGAAGUUUGUUGGUAUAUUUUUUGUUAUCCUCUGUAUAGGAAUUUGUUUAACACUACAACACAUUCCAUUUAGAGAUGAUCGCCUUUAUCAUGUUGCAGUCUCACAGGAAUGUGCUGCAAUCAACAAUGCAACACAGUGAAAUUUUGCAGAAGUUAUUUAAGAGCUACAUCAAGAAUGUGCAACAGCUGAAUUUUUUUAAUACUAGAAAGUGAAUGUACACUCUUAAUAUAAAUGCUUGUUACAAUUUUCUCCUAUAUAACAUUAUUGACAUGUUAGCUCCACAUGAAUUAAGUCCAGCAAACAAAGAAUUAAACAAGGUGUAAAUUUCAUUCAUUGUUUAAAUAAUGGACGAAGUACAUUCCAAAAUAUAUAAGUAAAUGUAUGACUGUAGCAAAAUAUGACAAAACAGAUUAAAUAAGGAAUCAGUGAACAAUGGCUCUCAAUAAAACUUGGAAUUCACUGCAA